CCUUCACCUCGCGACGCCUCCCGCGCCGCGCACCCGGCACGGCCCCGCCCCUGCCCUCGUCUCCCGGGAGCCUGGGAAGGCGCGAGCUAUCCAGUCGGAGGGAGGGGGACGAGCGCGCGGGGCCGCGUCCUCGCUCGCGUCCCCGCUCCCUCCUCCCCUCUGCUUCUCCCUCCCCUCCACUCCCCCAUUGGCUUCUACCCCUCCCCCUUCUUCCUCCGCCUCUCCCACCAUUGGUUCCCUCCCCUACUCCAUUCCUUCUCACCUUUUCCCUUUUACCCAUUGGCGUGAGUAUUUUUCCUCAGCUUCCCUCUUUCUCCGUAUUCUGCUCCUCCUCAGUCCCAUCCUCCACGCUUUGGAAGCUACUGCCUUACUGCCCGGAGCGCCGUCGUCCCCGAACCUCCCCUGCUUCUCCCUUUCCUUCUGUUCCGGUUUCUGGUCGUAACUCAAGAGCAAACCACCGUACUGCAAAGGAACCAGAUAUUGUGCUCGCGGUUCCAAACCGGGCAUGGGCACCGAAUGCUUCUCGAUAAAUCCCCUUAUGGUCUCUGAGCAUUAAAGAAAGCAAGGGAGGAAAACAUGCGCCCAAGCUCGUUCGCAGGAACAUGUUCGCGUGUCUGCGCCUGUGUGCGCAGCCAGUUUUCUGGCUGAGGAUCGCUCGCCAACUACAGACAUCACCCGCCCAGGACCCGGUGCCACACUCACCCAGAAGACGAAACUCCACAGGAGCGAGAAGAGGAGUCCAUUUCUCCGUCGGCUCGGCACGGCACGGGGAUGCAGGCCCCUGAUUCAGUACGUUCUGUGAAAGUGGAGCGAGAAGCCAAGACGUGGAUCGAGAAGCCCCGUGGGGCGGGUCUCAGGGUGGCCCAAAAGACCCCUGUUCACGCCACUACCAGCCUAACUUUAGGAACUGUCGUCCACCUGGCUUUUAUUAUACUGCCUUAAACAUAUUCACUUUUUUGAGACUCUAGAAAUUUCACAAGUUUUGGGGUAGAGCACACUGGGCUUUGGGUGUGUUUCUCAUGAGGGCACUGACGCUGAAUGGUGCAGUGAGAAAGGACGGUAGAAACCACUGCCUUUGCUUUUACCAUUGAAGAAACUGAGGUCCUGUGACUUUCCCGAGGUCAUCGGAAUCUGCCUUGCACAGGAGACUUAAAAUAGUUGCCAGCAGAUAAAAGAAUGAGCAAAACCACAUCUACUCCAAUUUGUUAAGUCUGAAAGAAAGUAAUUGAGGGGGGAUUCCUCUUUGGGGAAAUAUUUAUUUCCUGCAUUGAAAAUAGUUUAAUGUUAGUAAACAUAUAAAAAGUAUUUUAAAUUCAAGUUAUUCUUUAUUUCUUAUGUUACAUAAGGUACUGAAGUUAGCCAAGGUUGCUUUUGUGUUAUAAUGAUGCAGCUGCUGCCAACCAGAAGUACAUUUACGGUCUGUCAGUAAAGAAAACAAAAACUGCCUGUUGGUAAAAAUCUAUUAGAAAAUAUUUGUCAGUAAAUUUGUCACAAUAUUCCAGCAGAAGUUCUGUUCGUUUUUCCGUCUUCCUGCCCUUCAUAUUUCUCAAAGGUAGACUUAAUAAAGGUAGAAGAGACAUUUCUAAUUUUUCUAUAUAUCUCUUGCUCCCUAAUUUCUAAAAGGCAUAACUAAAAUGCUUUAUUCGAGCCACUCCCUUGCAUCUGAACCCUACCUACCAAGUAGGUUAAGAGUAGGUUAGGUAAGGUCUGUAGCUACUUCUUUCUUUCAGUUACAAAUUGUAGGUGGGAAAGAAGGAUGCGGAAGGAAACUUGCAAGGAAAGCAAACAGAAAGAAAAAGAAGUAAAAAAGGAGAGAAGGGAAUUUGGUGGGUGGUCCAACCAUCAAAAUGUGGUACUAAUGCCAUAGGUAUCUACACCACUUAUGUAAGUUGGAAUGUUGAUGCAUUCCAACGCAUGUUUUUAUCUUUGUACUGAAAGCCCUUAAGAAUACCCGAAGUAAACAUAUAAAAAGUAUUUUAAGUUCAAGUUAUUCUUUAUUUCUUAUGUUACGUAAGGUACUGAAGUUAGCCAAGGUUGCUUUUUAGUGUUAUAAUGAUGCAGUUCAAAGUCAUAACCUGAAUAAGAUGUUAAGUACUAUAGAGUGUACACAUAAACCAAAGCCAAAUAAAUCAGGGCUUCUAAAGAAAACGUUAAAAAGGUGUAAUGUUCAGUUAUAGGACAUGAUACUGGAGGCAGGGAAGACUUGAAAUCUCAUUUAUUUUCUUAUAAUGAAGACACCAGAAGACGUUAAAAAAAAAAAAAAGAUCACGAUUUCCAAACAAUGAUUUUCAUAGUCGACAUUAUUUUCAGUUCUUUAUCUUGAUUUAGGGAGCCUGGAAAUUUAGGACUUCGUUUCUUAUUAAUACUAAUAGUCUAAAGGUGUUUACCAGUACAAAUAAGUUAUUGUAUGUAAUUUGCUCUUCUCAAAAAAUAGAGUUUUCUGUAUCAAUAAAAAUCUGAAAUGGGGGCCACAAUUCUGUGGCUAAUAAUGCCUAUAUAUCCAUAAAUAAAAGGCAUCAAAGAGCAGGAGGAAAAAUAUGUAAGAUGGCAUCUUUAAAAAUUGAUCAGGAGCCAAGACUUCAGAGAAAAAGCUUUAAAACACCCACCCUCCCUACUCAAAAGGAUAAUUUUUAAGAAAAUAGGUAACUUAUUUACACACACACACAUGCGCGCGCACAAAUAUCGGACAGAAAUGGAAAUGGAAUAAAUAUUAACAAGCCCUCUCAAAUCAACUACUCUUCUUAUCUAGAAUAAAAAAGUUAAGCCUCUCUUCUGCUGUACUGGAUAAUUAAAAUAACUGGACUCUUUGUUCCUCGUUUACUUUGAAAAAAUUAGAAUAAGAUUUGUCAGGCAUUUUCGGUUUUUAAUUUAAAUUUUCUUCAUAAAUCUCUAGUUCUUCAUCACAUCCUAAUAAAGUAUUAAUAUGCAUGGUCUUUUUGAGAUCAAAAGACAUGACAGUCAUAAAAAAAGUUAUCAUAAUUCCAGCUUCUACCAUUAGUGGUAAUACUGCAAUAUUCAAAUGUUUCAUAUGUUGUGGCUUCAAAAGAACUUACCCUAUAGAGGCAGCUACACCCCCUGCUGGAAAUCUUUGAUCAUAACAACUUUGGCUUCUGUAGUCUCAAUCAGGAACAUAUGAAAAGCCAAAUAAAGGGCCUUACCACUCAUGACAGAAUUGACCAAUACUUUAGCCUGUCUGAUACAAGACAGGCUUUUGGAGAACAACCUAUGUCAGAAUAUCACCUUGAUUACAGACAAAAUACACAAAGAGGAUGGAGAAUAAUGAUGUAAAUAGCUAAAUAGCCAAAACACUUGUAAGAUAUUUGCUUAAUUUCCAACUGUAUUUCCACUCUUUACCUUAUCCCCAUCUCCUGCCUAGACUUCUCUUUUUCUCUCUAUCUCAUACAAUUAGGCCUACUUGAGGGGAGGAAGAAGGCAGGAUAAGAUGGGAUAUUAAUCCUUCAGCUAGGCAAAUAAUGGUGUAUCAAUCCACAGUAGCCAUUUGCUGCAUUAAGGUGCUUAAGGGCUUUCCCCAAAUUUGUUUUAUGGGUACCAAUGAUAUUUUCAACAUGAAGAAAAGGUGCUAAUUAUGUCUUGGCUGUUACUGUAGAAAAUAUUUUGACAAGAGUUAAGGUAAUUGUGAGCAUGGGACUGGAACAGGAGGAAAGUAGUGCAUUGACCUUCUUGGCAUUUUGUUCCACACAGCCUUGUUCUGUUGAUAUUCCAGAACUGUAUUUUCAGACUGAAAUCCCAAAGAUGGUAUCAGAGUCUAGCUUUAAAAUGUCAUGCUCAUGAAACUCUAGUCCUAGGACAUAACUGAAAUACUGAAAGCAGCACACUAUUUUUAAAUAAUUCGUAUUUUGUAAAGAUUAUUUGUAAUGCAGACUCCUUUUAAAGGAAAAACAAUUCAUUCAGAUCCCACCAGCACAAAUACUUUAAUUAGACAAAAUCUUCAAGUUAUUUCCUCUCACAAAAGGAGGUAUUGUUGGGCCAUCUGGACUCUCUAUUGAGUUUUUAUGAAAGAUCACAGCUUGAAUUUAAUCAACCCCAAUAAAGUUAACCCCAUAAAGCUAAAAAAUAAUUGCAAGAAUUGCUAACUGAAGGAUUUGAAUUCUCUGUUUGAGAUUGUUACCACUGUCAUUUGUAAAUCAUUACAAUGGGAAACAGGAACUUGUAUUGCUUGACUAUUUAACCUCAUGAACAUAAUUUUUGUGAAUUUCCCACUCUAUUUAGACCAAAUUUAGAUUGUGAGUCUCUCUACAUAGGAAUAACAAAAUGAAUGUUUGGCUCUAUAUAAUAACUAGAAGAUCAUUAGUAGAAAGUUCAAUAA
rnacentral:lncRNA from 1 species